rnacentral:rRNA from 1 species
CGCAUCACUCCUACGGGAGGCAGCAGUGGGGAAUAUUGCACAAUGGGGGAAACCCUGAUGCAGCCAUGCCGCGUGUGUGAAGAAGGCCUUCGGGUUGUAAAGCACUUUCAGUAGGGAGGAAGGUAGUGUAGUUAACACCUGCACUAUUUGACGUUACCUACAGAAGAAGCACCGGCUAACUCCGUGCCAGCAGCCGCGGUAAUACGGAGGGUGCGAGCGUUAAUCGGAAUUACUGGGCGUAAAGCGCAUGCAGGCGGCCUGUUAAGUCAGAUGUGAAAGCCCGGGGCUUAACCUCGGAAUUGCAUUUGAAACUGGCAGGCUAGAGUCUUGUAGAGGGGGUAGAAUUUCAGGUGUAGCGGUGAAAUGCGUAGAGAUCUGAAGGAAUACCAGUGGCGAAGGCGGCCCCCUGGACAAAGACUGACGCUCAGAUGCGAAAGCGUGGGGAGCAAACAGGAUUAGAUACCCUGGUAG